ACUGGCGUUGAAACAUCGAUUCCCAUGCAAUCACCGAAGUUAAGCAAGAUCAAGACUGCUCAGUACUUCGAUGGGUGACGCUUGGGAAUACCAGGUGCUGUAAG